AAUUUUUUAUUUAUCAUAAUUUUUUUUGUAAAAAGAAACAUCAUCUAUAUUUAGUAGUGGUGAAGGAAAUAACUACAAUAUAAAUAUAUAAUCGUACCGUAUGGGAAAGGCUAUUAAUUUUUUUUAAGUAAAGUUUAACUUAUACCUUUUGCAUCAUGGUUUAGUAAGAAUAAUUUUUAGAUUAAGUUUCUCGAAACCUAAAGAGCUACCUUAGUUUUAGGUGUAGCCUUAAUAAGAGUGAGUGUGGCAUAACUCUACUUAAAAUCUAAGGUAGAAAUUAGAUGUUAUUCGUUUUAGGUGAUAGCUAGUUAUAAUAGAAAGAUAUAUAAGUAUUGGAUAUAAAUUUGUUAUAUAUUUGGCGUAAAUAUAUAAUAAUUUAUUUUUUUAGUUAUGUGAGGAUAAGCUCGCAUAAAUUUAUUUAAUUAAAAAUUAUAUAUAAAUCUAAGCUUGACAUUGGCUAUGAUACUGAAUUUUUUAAAAAUACAUAUAUAAUAUAUAGGUUUUGUGUAAUAUUAGGUUUGAUAUUAUUCAAUUAUGUAAUUAAAACAUAAUUGAUUUAUGCUAAAAUGAGUAUUAUUAUAAAUUAAAUUAAAAAAUAAAUUGAAUUUUUUUCAAAAAACUUCAUAGUAUUAUAAAAUAUAAUAUAGGAACUCGGCAAAAUUUAGCUCCGCCUGUUUAGCAAAAACAUGUCUCUUUGAGAAAUAAAGUAUAAAGAGUCUGGCCUGCCCGG
rnacentral:rRNA from 1 species